UAAUACGGAGGGUGCAAGCGUUAAUCGGAAUUACUGGGCGUAAAGCGCACGCAGGCGGUUUGUUAAGUAAGAUGUGAAAUCCCCGAGCUUAACUUGGGAACUGCAUUUGAAACUGGCAAGCUAGAGUCUUGUAGAGGGGGGUAGAAUUCCAGGUGUAGCGGUGAAAUGCGUAGAGAUCUGGAGGAAUACCGGUGGCGAAGGCGGCCCCCUGGACAAAGACUGACGCUCAGGUGCGAAAGCGUGGGGAGCAAACAGGAUUAGAUACCCUGGUAGUCCACGCUGUAAACGAUGUCGACUUGGAGGUUGUGCCCUUGAGGUGUGGCUUCCGGAGCUAACGCGUUAAGUCGACCGCCUGGGGAGUACGGCCGCAAGGUUAAA
rnacentral:rRNA from 1 species